rnacentral:rRNA from 1 species
UACGAAGGGGGCUAGCGUUGCUCGGAAUCACUGGGCGUAAAGCGCACGUAGGCGGACUCUUAAGUCGGUGGUGAAAUCCUGGAGCUCAACUCCAGAACUGCCUUCGAUACUGAGAGUCUCGAGUCCGAGAGAGGUGAGUAGAACUGCGAGUGUAGAGGUGAAAUUCGUAGAUAUUCGCAAGAACACCAGUGGCGAAGGCGGCUCACUGGCUCGGUACUGACGCUGAGGUGCGAAAGCGUGGGGAGCAACAGG